GGACCCGCACAAGCGGUGGAGCAUGUGGUUUAAUUCGAUGCAACGCGAAGAACCUUACCAAGAAUUGACAUGCUGCGAACGUUUACGAAAGUAAAAAGUCUAUUAACUUAGUUAAUAGCGCAGACACAGGUGGUGCAUGGUUGUCGUCAGCUCGUGCCGUGAGGUGUUAGGUUAAGUCCUGCAACGAGCGCAACCCUUGUCUUUAGUUAUAUUCUAGAGAGACUGCCGUGAUAAACCGGAGGAAGGUGAGGAUGACGUCAAAUCAGCAUGCCCCUUACAUCUUGGGCGACUCACGUGCUACAAUGGUCGGGACAAAGAGAUGCUACCCCUGCGAAGGCAAAGGC
rnacentral:rRNA from 1 species